UGGGGAAUUUUGGACAAUGGGCGAAAGCCUGAUCCAGCAAUGCCGCGUGUGUGAAGAAGGCCUUCGGGUUGUAAAGCACUUUUGUCCGGAAAGAAAUGGCUCUGGUUAAUACCUGGGGUCGAUGACGGUACCGGAAGAAUAAGGACCGGCUAACUACGUGCCAGCAGCAGCGGUAAUACGUAGGGUCCAAGCGUUAAUCGGAAUUACUGGGCGUAAAGCGUGCGCAGGCGGUUGUGCAAGACCGAUGUGAAAUCCCCGAGCUUAACUUGGGAAUUGCAUUGGUGACUGCACUGCUAGAGUGUGUCAGAGGGGGGUAGAAUUCCACGUGUAGCAGUGAAAUGCGUAGAGAUGUGGAGGAAUACCGAUGGCGAAGGCAGCCCCCUGGGAUAACACUGACGCUCAUGCACGAAAGCGUGGGGAGCAAACAGG
rnacentral:rRNA from 1 species